rnacentral:rRNA from 1 species
GUGCGUAACGCGUAUACAAUCUGCCUUUCACUGGGGGAUAGCCCGAAGAAAUUUGGAUUAAUACCCCAUAGUAUAKDRGGRYGGCAUCGYWYKWAUAUUMAAGCUUAGGUGGUGAAAGAUGAGUWUGCGUUCUAUUAGCUAGUUGGAGAGGUAACGGCUCCCCAAGGCGAUGAUAGAUAGGGGUUCUGAGAGGGAUGUCCCCCACACUGGUACUGAGAUMCGGACCAGACUCCUACGGGAGGCAGCAGUGAGGAAUAUUGGACAAUGGUCSGAAGACUGAUCCAGCCAUGCCGCGUGCAGGAUGAAGGUCUUAUGGAUUGUAAACUGCU